AGUAACACUAUUCCAGUUUUGCCUAUAAAUUGCUAGGAUUCGCAGCAGUUUAAAAACACACCAAAGCAGAAAAUACUCCUUUCUGUUAGAAAGAGCUCAAGUGAGCUCCCUUCGCCGGGCUGUUUCUUCGCCGACCGGCCACUAGGCUCUGAACCGAGAACGUGUACUCGUUCCUCCAUCUUCAGGCUACCAAACCCAACAAUCGAAAGGCCGAAGCCUUCUCUAUAUUUUCCUGACCAAAGGCCGCAAUAUCCUUCG
rnacentral:lncRNA from 1 species